rnacentral:snRNA from 1 species
ACUGUACUCGGUUUGGCAGUAUAUACUAACAUCAGAACCAUACAGAAAAGACUACUGUGGCCCCUGCACAAGGAUGACACACAAAUUCACGAAGCAUACCAUAUUUAA